AGUGAACGCUGGCGGCAGGCCUAACACAUGCAAGUCGAGCGGCAGCGCGUCCGACCACCCUCGGGUGGUCGGAUGGCGGCGAGCGGCGGACGGGUGAGGAAUGCAUCGGAAUCUGCCUCGUUGUGGGGGAUAACGUAGGGAAACUUACGCUAAUACCGCAUACGACCUACGGGUGAAAGUGGGGGACCUUCGGGCCUCACGCGAUGAGAUGAGCCGAUGCCGGAUUAGCUAGUUGGCGGGGUAAAGGCCCACCAAGGCGACGAUCCGUAGCUGGUCUGAGAGGAUGAUCAGCCACACUGGAACUGAGACACGGUCCAGACUCCUACGGGAGGCAGCAGUGGGGAAUAUUGGACAAUGGGGGCAACCCUGAUCCAGCCAUGCCGCGUGUGUGAAGAAGGCCUCGGUUGUA
rnacentral:rRNA from 1 species